rnacentral:hammerhead_ribozyme from 1 species
GUGCAGCUGACAAGUCUCAAAUAGGAUGAAACGCGCGUCCUGGAC